rnacentral:rRNA from 1 species
CAUUAUGCCUGGGAAUGGCUUAUGGUUCAAACAAUUUAUUGCCGUAGGAUGGGACUGCGGCCUAUCAGCUUGUUGGUGGAGGUAAUGGCCCACCAAGGCUAUAACAGGUACGGGCUCUGAGAGGAGAAGCCCGGAGAUGGGUACUGAGACACGGACCCAGGCCCUAUGGGGCGCAGCAGGCGAGAAACCUUAGCAAUGUGCGAAAGCACGACUAGGUUAAUCCGAGUGAUUUCUGUUGAAGAAAUCUUUUGUCAGUCGUAAAACCACAGACGAAUAAGGGGUGGGCAAGUCUGGUGUCAGCCGCCGCGGUAAUACCAGCACCUCGAGUGGUCAGGAGGUUUAUUGGGCCUAAAGCAUCCGUAGCCGGCUUUGCAAGUCUCCGGUUAAAUCCAGCUGCUCAACAGAUGGGCUGCCGGAGAUACUACAAAGCUAGGGAGCGGGAGAGGCAGACGGUAUUCUGUGGGUAGGGGUAAAAUCCUUUGAUCCAUAGAGGACCACCAGUGGCGAAGGCGGUCUGCCAGAACGCGCUCGACGGUGAGGGAUGAAAGCUGGGGGAGCAAACCGGAUUAGAUACCCGGGUAGUCCCAGCUGUAAACGAUG